rnacentral:rRNA from 1 species
AGUGAACGCUGGCGGUAGGCCUAACACAUGCAAGUCGAACGGCAGCACAGUAAGAGCUUGCUCUUACGGGUGGCGAGUGGCGGACGGGUGAGGAAUACAUCGGAAUCUACUUUUUCGUGGGGGGUAACGUAGGGAAACUUACGCUAAUACCGCAUACGACCUACGGGUGAAAGCAGGGGAUCUUCGGACCUUGCGCGAUUGAAUGAGCCGAUGUCGGAUUAGCUAGUUGGCGGGGUAAAGGCCCACCAAGGCGACGAUCCGUAGCUGGUCUGAGAGGAUGAUCAGCCACACUGGAACUGAGACACGGUCCAGACUCCUACGGGAGGCAGCAGUGGGGAAUAUUGGACAAUGGGGGCAAGCCUGAUCCAGCCAUACCGCGUGGGUGAAGAAGGCCUUCGGGUUGUAAAGCCCUUUUGUUGGGAAAGAAAGGCAGCAGGUUAAUACCCCGCUGUUCUGACGGUACCCAAAGAAUAAGCACCGGCUAACUUCGUG